UACGUAGGUGGCAAGCGUUGUCCGGAUUUAUUGGGUUUAAAGGGUGCGUAGGCGGCCCUGUAAGUCAGUGCUGAAAUAUCCCGGCUUAACCGGGAGGGUGGCAUUGAUACUGCGGGGCUAGAGUACAGAUGAGGUAGGCGGAAUUGACGGUGUAGCAGUGAAAUGCGUAGAUAUCAGGAGGAACACCGAUGGCGAAGGCAGGUCUCUGGGCUGACACUGACGCUCAUGCACGAAAGCGUGGGGAGCAAACAGG
rnacentral:rRNA from 1 species